AUUGAACGCUGGCGGCAUGCCUUACACAUGCAAGCCGAACGGCAGCACGGGUGCUUGCACCUGGUGGCGAGUGGCGAACGGGUGAGUAAUACAUCGGAACGUACCUUAUCGUGGGGGAUAACGCAGCGAAAGCUGUGCUAAUACCGCAUACGCCCUGAGGGGGAAAGCGGGGGAUCGAAAGACCUCGCGCGAUUAGAGCGGCCGAUGCCUGAUUAGCUUGUUGGUGGGGUAAAAGCCCACCAAGGCGACGAUCAGUAGCUGGUCUGAGAGGACGAUCAGCCACACUGGGACUGAGACACGGCCCAGACUCCUACGGGAGGCAGCAGUGGGGAAUUUUGGACAAUGGGGGCAACCCUGAUCCUGCAAUGCCGCGUGAGUGAAGAAGGCCUUCGGGUUGUAAAGCUCUUUUGUCAGGGAAGAAACACCGGCUCUAACACAGUCCGGGAGUGACGGUACCUGAAGAAUAAGCACCGGCUAACUACGUGCCAGCAGCCGCGGUAA
rnacentral:rRNA from 1 species